GCAUGGGCCACUGUGCCUGGCCAGUAAUUCUAAUUUCUAAAAAGUAGAGGAAGCACAAGCCAAUGGGAAAAGUAGAAAGAAUGAAAUUGACAUAAGCAAGAAAAAAGGAGGAGGGGUUCUCCAAACAGGAAAUAAUCCUCAUAAAGAAUGAAGAGGCAGCCAAAAGGAGCCAUAAAGGAGAACCUGAGAUUCUACAGAACCUGAGAUACUGGUCUUUAUCCAUUGUAUUCUAAGGUUUAAGAGCAUAACUUGAACUUAAUUUAAUUUUUUUGUGCUCAAGAAUGCUAGAUUUAUUUUGUUAAUAAACAUAAACAUUAUCAAUGAUUUUUUUUAAAAUACCUUAGUUUUUGUAAUCAUAUCAUAUACAGCAGCUUCAUCAUGUGCCUUUUUUUUAUUGUAAAACAAAAUAAUGGGAGGUGAAUAUAAAUAUAUGAAUAAAAAUAGAAAAGCUAAGUCAGUUUCUAUGAUGGAGAAAGAAUACUUCUGUAUUUAUUUUACAUUUAGAAAAAUAAUGUUCAAUAGUCAAUUCAAUUGUUAUUGGACAUUGCUUUUCCUACUAAAGUUUGAUUACAUAAAAGUGUUCAAAAGAUGUUUACCCAUAAAUUAUAUUUUCCUUCCUGCUACCAAUAUUUUUUUUUUCAAAUUCUCCUUUAAGACUCUUUUUGGCUGCUUCUUCAUUCUUUAUGAGGAUUUUUUUUGUUAAAAUAAAAUCAGCAAAAGAUAAAUCUUCAAUCAUACACGAGUAAGUGACUAAAGUUUAUAUUUUGCAUUAAAAUUAGAGCCUAGAGCUAGUUA